GAUGAAGAACGCAGCGAAAUGCGAUAAGUAAUGUGAAUUGCAGAAUUCAGUGAAUCAUCGAAUCUUUGAACGCACAUUGCGCCCGCCAGUAUUCUGGCGGGCAUGCCUGUUCGAGCGUCAUUUCAACCCUCAGGGCCCUUUUGGACCUGGCGUUGGGGCUCGGCCGCUACCCUGCGGCCGUCCCCGAAAGAUAGUGGCGGUCUCGCUGUAGCCUCCUCUGCGUAGUAGUUACAUCUCGCACUGGAACGCGGCGCGGCCAUGCCGUUAAACACCCCACUUCUCAAGGUUGACCUCGGAUCAGGUAGGAAUACCCGCUGAACUUAAGCAUAGCAAUAAGCGGAGGA
rnacentral:misc_RNA from 1 species